AUUGAACGCUGGCGGCAGGCCUAACACAUGCAAGUCGAACGGUAGCAGGAAGUGCUUGCACUUCGCUGACGAGUGGCGGACGGGUGAGUAAUGCUUGGGAACUUGCCUUUAGGUGGGGGAUAACAGUUGGAAACGACUGCUAAUACCGCAUAAUGUCUACGGACCAAAGGGGGCUUCGGCUCCCGCCUUGAGAGAGGCCCAAGUGAGAUUAGCUAGUUGGUGGGGUAAAGGCCUACCAAGGCAACGAUCUCUAGCUGUUCUGAGAGGAAGAUCAGCCACACUGGGACUGAGACACGGCCCAGACUCCUACGGGAGGCAGCAGUGGGGAAUAUUGCACAAUGGGGGAAACCCUGAUGCAGCCAUGCCGCGUGUGUGAAGAAGGCCUUCGGGUUGUAAAACACUUUCAGUUUGUGAGGAAAGUUGGUAGUUAAUACCUGCCAGCUGUGACGUUAACAACAGAAGAAGCACC
rnacentral:rRNA from 1 species